CAUUGAUGGCCGAAACUAAUAUAUAUUUAUGAAGGUCGGUUUAAUAAUGUCCCACAAAUAAAUAAAAUGAUUUACAAAUCAUGUUCUCUAUUAUUUGCCGAUUGAUUUGUGGGCUUAUUUUUUAAACUCGCUAGCCCAUCUAUUACAUCAGCUUAUACAUUUGAUUAAAGCCUAAGCAUAUCUUAAUAAACCAUAAAACUGGCCCUAAAAAGCCUGCAAGUCGUCAGCUCUUCGUCUUCGACUGAGACCUAUGGUUUUUCCAAUC
rnacentral:lncRNA from 1 species